GUGCAGCAGGCGCGAAAACUCCGCAAUGCGCGAAAGCGUGACGGGGUCACCCCGAGUGCCGUCCGCUGAGGAUGGCUUUUGCCCGGUUUAACCAGCCGGGUGAAUAAGGGGAGGGCAAGUCUGGUGUCAGCCGCCGCGGUAAUACCAGCUCCCCGAGUGGUUGGGACGAUUAUUGGGUCUAAAGCGUCCGUAGCCGGCCGGAAAAGUUCCCCGUUAAAUCUGACGAUCCAAUCGUCGGGCUGCGGGGAAUACUCUGCGUCUUGGGGGCGAGGGAGGUCGGCGGUAGUCUCGGGGUAGGGGCGAAAGCCUAUAAUCCCGAGAGGACCACCAGUGGCGAAGGCGGCCGACUAAAGCGCGCCCGACGGUGAGGGACGAAAGCUGGGGGAGCGAACAGGAUUAGAUACCCCCGUAAGUCC
rnacentral:rRNA from 1 species